rnacentral:miRNA from 1 species
GCGGCGAGCGAACAGGU